rnacentral:lncRNA from 12 species
CAGUACUCUUGAGAAUUUUUUUUUUUUAAAUUUGAUUUUGCCUGCAGAGGUUCUUCCUUUCUAUUAGUUAUAUUUCAUUUUGCCAUAAAUCGCCAGCGCUGAUAGGAAGAACUAGCUUAAAUUAUGCAAAUUACUUCUACAUGCUUUCGUAGUUUCUCCUCUUGCAAUCUUUUUAGCUCUUUGAAACCUUUGGAUUUUAGGUGUCAAGGAUAUCUGCGAUGAUUCAGUGACCACCAGGGGGCACCAGGAUCUCUGGGUGUUCUGGCCAAUCAAGUCCACACGGAAUGAAGACAAGGAUCCAAGUGCCCAGAUGAGAAGAAUGUAUAGGGAAACCAUCCUUGAAAAAAGGGAGCUCCCAAAUCACAAAAUUUUAAGAGCUCACAUGGUCCCAUGACAGAACUUUUGUGACUUUCUGAAGACCUCACAAUUUCAGACUGUUUUCAACACAAUUGGUAAGUGAUUCGAAUUGAUUUUCCCAAGGAAUGUGGACAUAUGUGGCAUCCUUGACAACUCCCUGAAACGUCUAUAAAAACUGCCUGAGUUAAGAUUCAUUC